rnacentral:rRNA from 1 species
GACGAACGCUGGCGGCGUGCUUAACCCAUGCAAGUCGAACGAAGUGGCGAACGGGUGAGUAAUACGUGGGUAACCUGCACUCCUUUUUGGGAUAAGCCUUGGAAACGGGGUAUAAUACAGAAUAAAGGGGGAUGGGCUCGCGGCCUAUCAGCUUGUUGGGGGGGGGAUGGCCUACCAAGGCGGUGACGGGUAGCCGGCAUGAGAGGGUGACCGGCCACAUUGGGACUGGGAUACGGCCCAGACUCCUACGGGAGGCAGCAGUGUGGGAUAUUGCACAAUGGGCGAAAGCCUGAUGCAGCAACGCCGCGUGGGGGAUGAAGGCGUUCGGGUUGUAAACCUCUUUCGCUAACUAACGGGUAGGUGGAGAAGCAGCGCCGGCUAACUACGUGCCAGCAGCCGCGGUAAUUC